rnacentral:rRNA from 1 species
GACGUAGGGGGCUAGCGUUGUCCGGAUUUAUUGGGCGUAAAGAGCGUGUAGGCGGCCAGGUAGGUCUGGUGUGAAAACUCGAGGCUUAACCUCGAGAUGUCAUCGGAAACCAUCUGGCUAGAGUCCGGAAGAGGAGAGUGGAAUUCCUGGUGUAGCGGUGAAAUGCGCAGAUAUCAGGAAGAACACCAAUGGCGAAAGCAGCUCUCUGGGACGGUACUGACGCUGAGACGCGAAAGCGUGGGGAGCGAACAGG